CAGUGUGCUAUCGGAGGCUGAGUCAUCCCUGCUGCAAAUCGAAACUGUGGAUCUGAAAAGAAUUUUCUCAUCUAAACCAGAGCUUCAGUCUCCCAGAAAGCAAUGAAGAGAAAAGCUGAAGUCAGUGAUUAGGAGUGUCUGUGUAAGUAAAAGCAACAGGCAAUUACUGAGUGUGGUGUGAGAGGCACGGAAAGAUUGGGAAUUCAGCAAGAAGAGGAAUUGAAGUCAAACCUCACCUACUUCCCAGAGUCUUCUGGAUUUUCUGUUAGAAGCUUCAGUAUCUGAGAUAUUCCUAUGCAUUCUACUGCUUUAAUCCCACCUAAGUAGAGAUGUCCACAACAGAGAGAAUGGAGCUGUCACAUCGUUUCAACUGCCCAGGUAGUUCCUACUGGAUGAAUGGGAUUGUCACCUUCACACCUGCUAGAGGCUUGGAGCAUGCAAGAGUUUUUUUAAAUGGCUUCACCUUUCUUAUGAAAAUGCAACCACUAGUACUCUUCCAAUAAAAGCUUUUCUCAAGUGUGAGUAUACACUUGGCAUGGAAUAUUUUAGCUAUUUUCUCUCUCAGGACUCAUGUUUUAUUACAUAGCAUUUAGUCUCAACAUAUGUGGAUACAUAUUUUCUUUCUGAUAGUUAUUAUGCUUUUGUUUCUUCAUAUUUGUUUUAUUCUUGAUUUGAAAAAAUUAAUUUCAGAGAAACCUCCAGACUACACGCAAGCCAGUGCAGGCAUUUGAUAUCAUGAAGCUAUGAGAAUUCCCAGUUAUGGGAAGCCCUGAUGUCAUAAGAAAAUUAGACCAGCUUAGCUCAGAACAGUUUCAAUGAAAUACAUUCAUUUCACACUGUAUUAAUAUAAUCCUUGUAUUACUUCUUUUUAUCAGUCUCACAAGUCUUAAUUUUUCCAGUCAGAUAUAAAUAAGACACAAUGCAAAAGAAAGCUUAAAGAGGGAGAGGUGAGGAGAUUCUUUGAGGCCAGGAGUUCUAGACCAGCAGGGCAAUAUAGUGAGACUCUGUCUCUUAAAAAAAAAAGAAGUAAAAAUAACAAGAAAGCUUAAAGAAUGGUAAAUAUCCCUUUAAAGUACAUUUCUUCCUAUGUCAGUCUCCAGGUUUUCUAUCCUAGUUGUCACUUAUUAACUCAGAGUGUUCAUAUUUGUGUUAAAUUGAGGAAAGGUGAAAUUCAUUCUGAGAAUAACUAUUCAGACAUUGAUAAAAAGAUUUGUUCUCUCUGGGCAACAUUCUAGGUCAGUGAAUUUAGCAUUGAAUAAGAUGUUAUUUUGUAUUCAAAUAACAGCUGUAUCUGGUUUACCCCUUGUGGCGCAGUGAGGAAAAUUAGGCAAUGUGUAAAUAUAAUUUUUGUUAUUUACUAUGCUACAUAUUCAAUUAGCUUGAAAACAAAAAACAAACACCAAACCACUCAUUCCACCGUAUAGCCCAGAGCUACCAUUUCCCUCUCUAAGGGGAAGAGAACCUAAGCAUUGGCUAGGAGCAGCUGCAAUUAGAAUUUCUUUCAUAGACUUUCCUGAAAACCCAAUAAAAGAAGUAGAAAGGAGAGGCUGGGCCUAUUACAUUUAUUGGAGGCCCACAGCCUGGUUUCUAUUAAGUUUGACAGUAUUUAUUUUUGAAGCUAGAAUCAUGUACUUACCUAUGAUUGCAAACAUUGUUUUCAAAAUAUCAAAUAACGAAUGUGCAAAAACUGAAUAAUAAUGAAAUGGAUGGAAAGUGACAAAACGGAAAUUCUUCUCCCCCACAGCAAAGGCUCAAAAAUUCCAGAGAGUGGACAAACAUGAAUACUUCCUGUUUCACUGUAAAGGUUUUUGGUGCUUAAAUUUUAAGUCUCCAUUUUCAGUCUGUGAUUGUCUAUCAAUUAUAUUUAAUUAAUGUUUUUAUUACAAUAAUAUUGUGCCAUCAGUUACAAAAUAUUUUAUAAAACAAUGCAUAUUCGUGUUAUUGCCUUUCAAGAAAAUUCCAGAAAAUUCAUAGGGAUAUUCCCCUCAAAUUUUAAUGUUAUAACAUUUCCCGUGUAAUAAUGUGUCUUAAAAAGUUGCCACUUAUAAAAUAGUUUUCCCGUAUGACAUACCCAAAUUCUGGGUCUUGUCCAAACCUUUAUGUUUCUGUCCUACAACAUUUUCUCAUUUGAUAGUUGGUCAUGUGAAAAAAACAUGUUAUGUUUUCAUGUUAUGUUUCUCUAAGUAGAAAGAUUUUUCCAGUGAACAAAAUCUUAGCUCAAUGUUCCCAGUAAGAGUCUGAACAAGCAAUCUUGGUAUGUUGUAGAACUUCAAGUUCUGUUAUGAGCAGAAUUUCCUCACAAAUGUAGCAAAAUUAUUGCUCUUACUUUUCAGUUUUUCUUGUCUUUUUUUUUUAAUGAAGGACUUGAAACCACCAAAUCUUAUUUUCUUUCUUAUGGAUUCUAUUAAUUAUAAUGCAUAUUUGAAAAUUGAAGCUUUGUAGUUAUUAAACUACCUAUUACUUCUGAUGUUACCUUUUGGACAAAUGGUAUUCAUUUAAUUUUGGGUUCUGUGAAUUUUUGAUUUUACAAGAACCCUUUGGCUUUAGAAAGAGAAUGAGAACAUCUCUGGAUUCUUUCACCCCUUUUUAACGGUGGGGCUCCGUGUACUUUCCACUGAAGGAGUGAGCAUUGUCAACUAGUUAACACAAGCUAUUGGAAAAAUCCCUGAAUUUUGUAUGGGAAGAAUAAUUGCACACAAAUGCACUCAGGAAUCCUAUGGAAAAUAUAGUGCUGUUAACUGGCAUGGUUACAACACAAUUUAGCAAGUAUGUUAGAACAAAUUACCCCCUUUAACCAUAAGCCAUUCUGUUUCACGCUUCUUAAUGAAGGCCUGUGCCACACACUAGAAUACUUCUCACCUCAUUACUACUCAUAAAAAGCAAUGAUCCAUUCAAAGUCUCCUCAUAUCUCCCAUAUGAGUGGUAAAGAGCUUCGCCUCUCAUUCUGGCAGGAGGACAGGGAGGCUUCUUCCCAGCCUGCCUUUGAAGUAGGUCAUUAGAAUGUUUACUAGAUAAAAGGACUCAAAAAUUUAUCUGUGUAAUCUCACUGUUGUCAUGUGUUAAUGUUCUAUCCUUCCUUUAAAAACAAAACAAAACAAAGCAAACAAAACCCAAAGACAUUUCUGUCCCUGUUUAGAGAAUACAGGAGAUUUGUAACACUCAGUGCAAUUUUUCUCCUGCAGUAUUCACAAGAUAUUUUCAAAGAAACUCUAAAAAGCAGGAAGAAUUUAAUGGGCCACUGAAAUACAAAGUAUGGAUUCAAUAAAAAGGCAGGAAGAGAAGCAAGCUGAUAGGCCAGUUAAGAAGAAACAGUCCAAUUUUAGAAUUAAACAACUUUUUCUCUCCACGGAGUGUCAUCAAAAGGAAAAUAAA
rnacentral:lncRNA from 10 species